rnacentral:lncRNA from 1 species
UCAUGAUUCUACAUACUUAUUUCAUUCUUUUUUAUUUUUUUUCUCAACAAUCAAAAAUCUAUAUCUAAUUCAUUUUUACUCCAAAUUUGAUGAGGUUUUUUUCACCAUUCUCCUUGUGAUGUGUAGUUUUUUAUGAUGAAUUUUAAUAUUUUUGUGCACAUGUGAAUUUUAAAAUUGCCUAGGGUUUGAUUGAAUGUGUCCAAUUUGUGUAUACCAUGCCAUUUUUGCUUGUAAAAUGAU